GAGUAGUGGGGAUGAAGGGUUUGUUAGGAAUACAGGUGACAAGAAUGAUCGAGAAGCUUCAGCUUCAAUAAUAUGUUCUAGGAUUGGUUAUUAAAUAUAGCUCAAGAACUAAUUAUUUA